CUCUCCUCCAUGAUUAUCAGCAUUACAUUUGGACAAGACUUUGGGAUUCCAGAAAUCACUUGCCAAUGUGUGCCAGUAGAUUGAAAGAGAGUUGACAUCUGUGGAAUACCAGACGAAUGACCAGAUUUCCCAACCUAACUGGAAUUCUUCUGGAGAGCUAAGACCUGGCCCCAGCCCUGGAAAUGAGAGUGAACACCAAGCAAUCGGCUACUCCCAAGGCUCCUGAGGUUUGGAUGCAAGACUGGAGAAUACAAAGGUGAAGGGUCCAUCUCACAUCCCAGUAUAGGAUGCACAAGAUCUUUUAGUCCAUGCUAGUUCUAUUGAAGAAGAUGAUGGGUUUCCUUGUCAUACUGCACCCAUCUGUGUCUGCUGACUUUAGUAUCUGUGGAAAAAUGGAAAAUGUUCUGCUGUGACUCAUAAGGAUCUCUCUUAGCAGUUCGUUCUAUUUGCACCUGCACCUUGGUCAUCUCUGAGGUCAAAGAAUGCAGGUGUUUCCAAUGAGUGGACAGUCGCAAGGCUGCGGGACCGGACGGCAUCCCAGGGCGGGUACUCAGAGUGCGCAGCACAACUGGCAGCCCCAGAACAUUACUACAGGCCUAUCCUGGGACCAGUUAUCUUGAACUCCUUCAGUCAUAAGAUCUGAAGUCAGGAUAUUUGGUAGUGAUCACACGAUGUUCAACGGAAUUUGCAAUACCUCAAUGAACAAGUCACUCCACGCCUGCACACAACAGGACCCGGACAACAUUCAGGGAUGGGCUGAUAAAUGUCAAGUAACGUCCACUCCUCAAGGGUGUGAAAGAGAGAGAUUCACUUACCUUUAGCAUCCACUAGCAUUACUGUUCUAUUUUGUAACUCCAGAAAAUAAUCAAAUGAAAAUAAAU